GACAGAGGGUGCAAACGUUGUUCGGAAUUACUGGGCGUAAAGCGAGUGUAGGCGGUCUAAAAAGUCGGGUGUGAAAGCCCCGGGCUCAACCCGGGAAGUGCACUCGAAACUGCUAGGCUAGAGUAUCGGAGAGGUUGGUGGAAUUCUCGGUGUAGAGGUGAAAUUCGUAGAUAUCGAGAGGAACACCGGUGGCGAAGGCGGCCAACUGGACGAAUACUGACGCUGAGACUCGAAAGCGUGGGGAGCAAACAGG
rnacentral:rRNA from 1 species